UACGAAGGGGGGCUAGCGUUGUUCGGAAUUACUGGGCGUAAAGGGCGCGUAGGCGGUGUGUCAAGUCAGGCGUGAAAGCCCCGGGCUCAACCUGGGAACCGCGCUUGAGACUGGCACGCUAGAGUUCGGGAGAGGAUGGUGGAAUUCCCAGUGUAGAGGUGAAAUUCGUAGAUAUUUGGGAAGAACACCGAUGGCGAAGGCAGCCAUCUGGACCGACACUGACGCUGAGGCGCGAAAGCGUGGGGAGCAAACAGG
rnacentral:rRNA from 1 species